rnacentral:lncRNA from 1 species
CUCUUCCACCUGCCUCCCACCGCGCCUCCUCCUCCCCCACCCCUGACCCCUCCAGCCUCCAACUCCUCCACCCCUCACGCCCCCACCUGCCUCCCACCCCACAUCCGCCUCUCCUACCCCUCACCCCCACCUGCCUCCCACCCUCGCCUCUGCUUCCUCCACCCCUCACCCCCACCCCUCACCCCCACCUCCCUCCCACCCUCGCCUCUGCCUCCUCUAUCCCUCACUCCUCUACUUUCCUCUCACCCCACCUCAGCCACGCCUCCCACCCUCGCCUCUCCACGCCCUCCCAUCCCACUUCAGCCGCGCCUCCCCCCCCUCACACCCCGACCUGCCUCCGCCGCGCCCCCCCCCCCCCCCCCCGGGUAGUCGGCUCCACCGCGGUUCUGCUAAGACCCCCACCGCGACCCCAGUUCCUCUAGCUACUGAGCUUCAAGCGCGUCCCCCCAACUAACUACCCAGAAUCCUGGGCCCCCUCCCCCUGCGCCUCGGCCGCGUGCCCCGCGCACGUUCCCUGCUCUUUCCCCUCACGCCUCCCCACGAAUCCCGCGAGUCUCCCGCCCUCUUGUCUGACGCAGGCAUCGGUCCCCCUCCCGGACACGCCCUCCUGGGACUGGCCUGGGAACCGCGUCCGCAGUCGCUUCGGCGGAUCCGGGGUGGGGGGCCGGGAUGGAAGGACCUUCCUUUGGACUCCGGCUUCGCGCUCCUCGUGCGCCACUCCCUUCCCCAAGUCACUGAGCUGGACUGUAAGGGUGUCAGGCACUGUGGGCUCCACUUCCCUUCCCUCCAAAGGAACCUGAGGAUGCAGGCGGACGGCGGGAACACAGCAUCUCCCUCUGGCUUGGAGGGCGGGGGCCGACCCUGGAGCGCGCUCUGGAGCGGACCUACAAAAGAGCGAGCUGCUACGCUGGCUUUGCAUCUUCCAGAGACAUUUGGCCAGUUCGCCUUCCAGAGCCACAUCGUCGCGGCCGAAGUAGAAGCUCAGCGAGAUGCCGGUUGA